ensembl:lncRNA
UUGAAUUCAGGAAUAGGAUCAAGCCCCAGGUAUAUACCACCACAGAGCAUACUGUAGAGACGGUAAUGGAACUUGUGGCUGUGAGGAAAAAAUUCAUCAGGAUUUAACACCUGAAUCUUGAAUUGCUGUAGAUGCUUCACGUGCCCACAGCUGUUGACUCUGCUGCUGAAGGAAGCAGGAGGGAAAAGAAUAACAGAAACACAUUCAUCAGCAGGUAUCUGCAUCAUAUAAAUACCCAUUCACAGUCAGUCUGUUUCAUACUUAAUUUGUUGGCUUUUUAAUUAGCUCAGGUUCUGUAUGAAGGUUUAAUUAGACUAUAUAAAACUGUAAUUGCUCAGAGCCAUUGAUGUAGUGAUGACAGCUCAGUAUGUGGGGUGGGAAGUGUCUCUGUUUCUGAUAGAGCUAAACAAUUUGAAAAAGGUGUACCACAAGGCAGGAACUGAACAGACCAGGAACUGUUACUGACUAGAUUUUCAAGAACAGAUAAUCCAAACAGCCAAACAUCCUACAACCCACGUAUCAUGACUUUAACAUGUCAGGAAUCACAAGAUUCCUAGAUCACCUUUUGGAGGGCAGAUGGGACUGUCUUCUGCCUUACUCCUCCAACACCUAGAAACUGCAGUGUAUUGUCAUGCAGAUGUGAAUUUUCCUCUUUGGAAGAUUGCUUAUUGUUUUGGAUACCCUCAAGAACCAGAGUCAGAAAUUGGAGGUCCUGGUUUUGAAGAAAUGCUACAGACUGUGAGCCCAUCCUAUUUAUAUCUGGCCUUUUUUCUACAAUUAACAGAAUUGCCCAUGUUUCCUCUUAAAUACAACUUGGCUGCUUCCUCUGUAUUGUUCUUCCAUGAAAAGUGUUCUUGA